rnacentral:rRNA from 1 species
GACGAACGCUGGCGGCGUGCUUAACACAUGCAAGUCGAACGGAAAGGCCCUGCUUUUGUGGGGUGCUCGAGUGGCGAACGGGUGAGUAACACGUGAGUAACCUGCCCUUGACUUUGGGAUAACUUCAGGAAACUGGGGCUAAUACCGGAUAGGAGCUCCUGCUGCAUGGUGGGGGUUGGAAAGUUUCGGCGGUUGGGGAUGGACUCGCGGCUUAUCAGCUUGUUGGUGGGGUAGUGGCUUACCAAGGCUUUGACGGGUAGCCGGCCUGAGAGGGUGACCGGCCACAUGGGGACUGAGAUACGGCCCAGCCUCCUACGGGAGGCAGAAGUGGGGAAUAUUGCACAAUGGGCGGAAGCCUGAUGCAGCAACGCCGCGUGCGGGAUGACGGCCUUCGGGUUGUAAACCGCUUUCGCCUGUGACGAAGCGUGAGUGACGGUAAUGGGUAAAGAAGCACCGGCUAACUACGUG